rnacentral:rRNA from 1 species
AACAUGUCUUUUUGUAAAUAAUUUAAGGUUUAAUCUGCCCACUGAUGAAAAUUGAAGGGCUGCAGUAUAUUGACUGUACAAAGGUAGCAUAAUCAAUAGUCUUUUAAUUGAAGACUUGUAUGAAUGAUUUGAUGAAAUAUAAACUGUCUCUGAUUUAAAUAUAGAAUUUAAUUUUUUAGUCAAAAAGCUAAAAUGAUUUUAAAAGACGAGAAGACCCUAUAGAGUUUUAUAUUUAAAUUAUUUAAUAUUUUAUAUAUAAAUUAUAAUAAAAAUUAAUUAAAAUAUUUUAUUGGGGUGAUAGAAAAAUUUAAGAAACUUUUUUUUAAAAAAAUCAUAAAUAAAUGAAAUAAUGAUCCAUAAUUAAUGAUUAAAAGAAAAAAUUACCUUAGGGAUAACAGCGUAAUUUUUUUUUUUAGUUCAAAUAAGAAAAAGAGAUUGCGACCUCGAUGUUGGAUUAAGAUAAAAUUUAAAUGCAAAAGUUUAAAAUUUUGAUCUGUUCGAUCAUUAAAAUCUUACAUGA